AUUGAACGCUGGCGGCAUGCUUUUCACAUGCAAGUCGAACGGUAACAGGCCGCAAGGUGCUGACGAGUGGCGAACGGGUGAGUAAUGCAUCGGAACGUGCCCAGUCGUGGGGGAUAACGCAGCGAAAGCUGUGCUAAUACCGCAUACGAUCUAUGGAUGAAAGCGGGGGACCGUAAGGCCUCGCGCGAUUGGAGCGGCCGAUGUCAGAUUAGGUAGUUGGUGGGGUAAAGGCCUACCAAGCCGACGAUCUGUAGCUGGUCUGAGAGGACGACCAGCCACACUGGGACUGAGACACGGCCCAGACUCCUACGGGAGGCCGCAGUGGGGAAUUUUGGACAAUGGGCGCAAGCCUGAUCCAGCAAUGCCGCGUGCAGGAAGAAGGCCUUCGGGUUGUAAACUGCUUUUGUACGGAACGAAACGGUCUGGGUUAAUACCCUGGGCUAAUGACGGUACCGUAAGAAUAAGCACCGGCUAACUACGUGCCAGCCGCCGCGGUAACAC
rnacentral:rRNA from 1 species